AUCUUUCCUAAGCAGAAAUGCUGCUGCCGAGCAGAAACUAAAGCAGAACUAAUGCGUUGCAAUAGGAUGUUGAACUGACUGGAUCAGAUCCUGUAAAACCCAUGUUGAGCUCAGCACGCACAUCUGGCCUCGCAGCUUCUCCCUGCCUGCAGUUACACCCAAUUAUUCACACUAAUUGCCCAUUGUACUUGUUGUAGCCCCGGUUGUUUAUUUUAGGAAUUGCUUUAUUUUUUAGCGUGUGGAUUUAUUGCUGCCCAGGGACUGCCCGUUCCAGGAAGGGAAAUCUUUUCUCCAGGGCACUGCAUGCAAAGCUGCCUCCCUCUUGCCUUUCUUGUCCUGUUGAAGAUGCUCACUUGAAGCACGUGAAGAGACUUCUGAGCUCACAGAUAUUUGAGUGUUUCUCUGGAGUGGAGCCAGAAUGGGCAGCAGUUUGCAGGGUUGUACCUUUAGGGUAAACUGCGGGAGUGUCCUAAAUACUCAUCCACAGUUACACCCAGAAAUGUGCCCACACCAGAAUUUUUCAGUCUCUGAGGGGUAACAGUUGUCAUCUGUCAUGACAUCUUUCUUGGAAGUGCUUUGGCAUUCCCAUCAGCAGAGAGCUGGCUSGUGUCUCUUGGACAGCACCAGGAGGGUUUGGAUGCACGGGAUCCCAUUAACUGGUGGGGUUUGGGGUGAGAUUUGGAACUGGCCUCAGUCCUACAAGGAAGCAGUGGGGUAAAAAGCAGCAGAAAUACACAAAUCACCCAACUGUCCUCAGCUCAUCAUGAAUUCACAAAAACACCGACUGUCCUCAGCUCCUGAACACCCCAGAAACACCAAACCACCUGAUUGUCCUCAGUUCUUCAUGAAUUCACAGAAACACAUGAACCAGCCAACUGUCCUCAACUUCUGAACACCCCAGAAGCACCAAACCACCCAACUGUCCUCAAUUCUUCAUGAAUUCAC